rnacentral:rRNA from 1 species
UACGUAGGGUGCAAGCGUUAAUCGGAAUUACUGGGCGUAAAGCGUGCGCAGGCGGUUAUGUAAGACAGAUGUGAAAUGCCCGGCUUAACCUGGGAACUGCAUCCGAGACUGACAUGGCUAGAGUAUGGGAGAGGGAAGUGGAAUUUCAGGUGUAGCGGUGAAAUGCGUAGAUAUUGGGAAGAACACCGGUGGCGAAGGCGGCGCUUCUGGACCGAGACGUGACGCUGAGGCGCGAAGGCGUGGGGAGCAAACAGG